UUUUCUCCUGGAAACGGGUGGUAAUGCCGGAUGUUCCACAUGAUCGCAUGUGAUUGUGGGAAAGAUUUCAUCGGCGUGGGAUGGGGUCGCGUCCUAUCAGCUUGUUGGUGAGGUAACGGCUCACCAAGGCUUCGACGGGUAGCCGGCCUGAGAGGGCGACCGGCCACAUUGGGACUGAGAUACGGCCCAGACUCCUACGGGAGGCAGCAGUGGGGAAUAUUGCACAAUGGGCGCAAGCCUGAUGCAGCGACGCCGCGUGAGGGAUGGAGGCCUUCGGGUUGUAAACCUCUUUUGUUUGGGAGCAAGCCUUCGGGUGAGUGUACCUUUCGAAUAAGCGCCGGCUAACUACGUGCCAGCAGCCGCGGUAAUACGUAGGGCGCAAGCGUUAUCCGGAUUUAUUGGGCGUAAAGGGCUCGUAGGCGGCUCGUCGCGUCCGGUGUGAAAGUCCAUCGCUUAACGGUGGAUCUGCGCCGGGUACGGGCGGGCUGGAGUGCGGUAGGGGAGACUGGAAUUCCCGGUGUAACGGUGGAAUGUGUAGAUAUCGGAAAAGAACACCA
rnacentral:rRNA from 1 species